GAAUCCCGUCUUUGGCAUGGAUGACCGGGGCUUUUGUGAUGCGCUCUCGAAGAGUCGAGUUGUUUGGGAAUGCAGCUCAAAAUGGGUGGUGAACUCCAUCUAAAGCUAAAUAUUGGCGAGAGACCGAUAGCGAACAAGUACCGUGAGGGAAAGAUGAAAAGCACUUUGGAAAGAGAGUGAAACAGUACGUGAAAUUGUUGAAAGGGAAACGCUUGAAGUCAGUCGCGUCGGCCGAGACUCAGCCUUGCCUCGGCUUGGUGUACUUCUUGACCGACGGGUCAGCAUCAAUUUUGCCCCUUGGAUAAUGGCGAGGGAAAUGUGACACCUUUAUAGGUGUGUUAUAGUCUCUCGUCGCAUGCAAGGGUCGGGAUUGAGGAACUCAGCACGCGCCUUCGGGCGUCGGGGCCUUGCCCACGAUACGUGCUUAGGAUGUUGGCGUAAUGGCUUUAAACGACCCGUCUUGAAACACGGACCAAGGAGUCUAACAUGCCCGCGAGUGUUCGGGUGGAAAACCCGUGCGCGCAAUGAAAGUGAAAGUUGAGAUCCCUGUCGUGGGGAGCAUCGACGCCCGGACCAGACCUUUUGUGACGGAUCCGCGGUAGAGCAUGUAUGUUGGGACCCGAAAGAUGGUGAACUAUGCCUGAAUAGGGUGAAGCCAGAGGAAACUCUGGUGGAGGCUCGUAGCGAUUCUGACGUGCAAAUCGAUCGUCAAAUUUGGAUAUAGGGGCGAAAGACUAAUCGAACCAUCUAGUAGCUGGUUCCUGCC
rnacentral:rRNA from 1 species